AGAAUCGCUUGAACCCGGGAGGAGGAGGUUGCGGUGAGCCCAGAGCAUGCCAUUGCAUUCCAGCCUGGGUGACAGAGUGAGACUCUGUCUUAAAACAAACAAAUAAACAAAAAGGUAAACAUGAGAUAAUUGAAUUUGUUAUUUAGUAACACAAGCCACUUAACUGGUUAUAAUGGUAAUAAAAAAUAUUUGAUAAAUCAUGUGAAACACUCAAAGGCCAAUGCUGUUUUUCCCACACAAAGGGGUUAAGAUCUCAAUUUCCAGAUCGCACUGAGAGUUCACCACAGUGGCUAAGCGUCAGGGGCCCAGUAUUUCCUUGGCAUUCUCUAGACAUAAGGACACUCUGCUCACAUGCAAAAUAAACUUCAAUGUAGCAAUAUUAUACUUGGAUAGUGAUGGUGAUGAUCUAUACAUGGAAAACAAAAUAAUGAAGGCUAACAAGUUUGCUAAUGGUAAGGAGAGACACUGCAAUGGGACCAACAGAGAGAUCCAGUUUUAAAACACUGCAAAAAUUUACCUAUCUGGUUCACAUAGUAACCAUCUUAAGAUGGAGGUUGAAGUAGAAAUCAGAAGGCCCAGGAUGGCUAUGAGUAGGCCCCCACUGUAAAUUACCACCUUCCUACAGACCCCUCAUUUCUCAUCAAUAAUGUAAAAAGUAUGUACCUUCUUACCCAAACAUUCCAAAUAUAGGAAUCUACCCAAAUGGACAGAUGUAAAGAGAGACAUGUAAGAAUAUUUAUAGCCUGGUUAUAAAACCCAAAAGAUCAAAAUGCCUAUCAACAGGAAAUUGGUUAAAUGAAUAAUGAUGCAUUAAAAUAGUUAUUUAAAAUAUGUAUAUUCAUUGAUAUAGAAUAUAUCAAUGCUUUUUAAAAGAGCAGGUUGCAAAACAGCAUGUUUGUAAAAUCUUUCAAAAUUUUAUAUGUAAACAGGCACGAGUAGGUAUAAAUGCCAAGUAUCUGAUAGAAUGGUCAUCAAAAUGUUAAUAGCAGUAUUUCUGGGUGGUCAGAUUUCUUUUUUUUUUUUUUUUUUUUUUUUUUUUUUUGAGAUGGAGUCUCGCUCUGUAGGCCAGGCUGGAGUGCAGUGGCACGAUCUCGGCUCACUGCAAUCUCUGCUUCCCAGGUCCCAGUUCAAGUGAUUCUCCUGCCUCAGCCUCCCAAGUAGCUGAGACUGCAGGCGCGCACCACCAUGCCCAGCUAAUUUUUGUAUUUUUAGUAGAGACGGGGUUUCACCAUGUUGGCAAGGCUUGAACUCCUGACCUCGUGAUCCGCCUGCCUCGGCCCCCCAAGGUGCUGGGAUUACAUGCGUGAGCCACCGUGCCCGGCCUUCCUGGUGGUCAGAUUUCAAAGGAGUCAAUAUUUUCUGAAUUUUAAAAAUAUUGUCUAAAUUCUCUAGGAAAGCUUGAAUUGCAUAUUGCAUUUAUAAACAAGAAAACACACCCCCCCAAAAUGAACUCUUACAUAGGUUCCUAUAGUGCUUCAGUAAUGGUUCCUAUGCUCCUUUGUAUCAAGGUAGGCAGAGAAUGUAGCUAGCUAGCGUAGGUAUGUAGGGUUGAGUAAGGGCCUAACACUGCAGGGUAAGCAAAGGUCCCUGCUCUGAAUGAGAAGGUGAGGGGAUCAAGUAUUAUUCAACUUUUAAAAUGCCUACUUAUGCCUGCACUGAUCUAGGCACUAAGGAUACACAGACAGUAAGUGGUGGGUUUUCCUAAAAAAGUUGUUUAGUGAAGUUUAAAACUCACCUGGCCUUAAAGAGCCAAACUUGGCCAGGCGCGGUGGCUCACGCUUGUAAUCUCAGCACUUUGGGAGGCCGAGGCAGGUGGAUCACGAGGUCAAGAGAUUGAGACCAUCCUGGCUAAUACAGUGAAACCCAGUUUCUACUAAAAAUACAAAAAAUUAGCCAGGUGUGGUGGCAUGCACCUGUUACCUUAGCUACUCAGGAGGCUGAGGCAGGAGAAUCGCUUGAAUCUAGGAGGCAGAGGUUGCAGUGAGCUGAGAUCUCGCCACUGCACUCCAGCCUGGGUGACAGAGCAAGACUCCGUCUCAAAAAAAAAAAAAAAAGUAAAAUAUUCUUCGGGUGGGCGCGGUGGC
rnacentral:lncRNA from 10 species